rnacentral:tRNA from 2 species
CGGGGUGUGGCGCAGUCUGGUUAGCGCGUACGGCUGGGGGCCGUGAGGCCGGAGGUUCGAAUCCUCUCACCCCGACCA